UACGUCAGUGGCAGACGGGUGAGUAACGCGUGGGAACGUACCUUUUGGUUCGGAACAACUGAGGGAAACUUCAGCUAAUACCGGAUAAGCCCUUACGGGGAAAGAUUUAUCGCCGAAAGAUCGGCCCGCGUCUGAUUAGCUAGUUGGUGAGGUAAUGGCUCACCAAGGCGACGAUCAGUAGCUGGUCUGAGAGGAUGAUCAGCCACAUUGGGACUGAGACACGGCCCAAACUCCUACGGGAGGCAGCAGUGGGGAAUAUUGGACAAUGGGGGCAACCCUGAUCCAGCCAUGCCGCGUGAGUGAUGAAGGCCCUAGGGUUGUAAAGCUCUUUUGUGCGGGAAGAUAAUGACGGUACCGCAAGAAUAAGCCCCGGCUAACUUCGUGCCAGCAGCCGCGGUAAUACGAAGGGGGCUAGCGUUGCUCGGAAUCACUGGGCGUAAAGGGUGCGUAGGC
rnacentral:rRNA from 1 species